UACGUAGGGGGCUAGCGUUGUCCGGAAUCAUUGGGCGUAAAGCGCGUGUAGGCGGUCCGAUAAGUCUGCUGUGAAAGUCGGGGGCUCAACCCUCGAAUGCCGGUGGAUACUGUUGGGCUUGAGUACGGAAGAGGCGAGUGGAAUUCCUGGUGUAGCGGUGAAAUGCGCAGAUAUCAGGAGGAACACCUAUUGCGAAGGCAGCUCGCUGGGACGUUACUGACGCUGAGACGCGAAAGCGUGGGGAGCAAACAGG
rnacentral:rRNA from 1 species